rnacentral:rRNA from 1 species
GGCGCAGGUGGUUUUUCAAGUCGGUUGUAAAAUCUCCCGGCUCAACUGGGAGGGACCAUCCGAUACUGGGGAACUUGAGAGUAGCAGAGGAAAGCGGAAUUCCCGGUGGAGUGGUGAUAUGCGUAGAUAUCGGGAAGAACACCAGUGGCGAAGGCGGCUUUCUGGGCUAUUUCUGACACUGAGGCCCGAAAGCGUGGGGAGCGAACAGGAUUAGAUACCCUGGUAGUCC